UACAGAGGGUGCAAGCGUUGUUCGGAGUUACUGGGCGUAAAGAGUGCGUAGGCGGUUUUCUAAGUUUGGUGUGAAAUCUCCCGGCUUAACUGGGAGGGUGCGCCGAAAACUGGAAGGCUUGAGUAUGGGAGAGGUAAGCGGAAUUCCUGGUGUAGCGGUGAAAUGCGUAGAUAUCAGGAGGAACACCUGUGGUGUAGACGGCUUUCUGGACCAUAGCUGACGCUGAGACACGAAAGCGUGGGUAGCAAACAGG
rnacentral:rRNA from 1 species